GGCAUUAAACCUCCUGAGUUUGAUUUCUGUCUGCAUGCUCUCAAAGAAAUGGAGGAUACACUUGUGUGCAAAGUCACGUGUUUUUUCGCAACAGGUCUCUUCAAAUAUUUUUUCUUCAAGGUCAAUGUAAUUGCUCCAGUAGCGGGUUUGCAAAAAGGCGGCAUGAUUGAAGCAGGGCUUGAGAGAACGAGCAAGCAAGGCCAUCACGAUGAGGAUUAAAAGAAGACUCCAACCAAAAGCCUGGAAGAAAAUGACAAACAGAUCAAGAGCCCUUGGAUUUACAACAAGAUCCUGAUGGAUAUGAUGAAUGACAGCCUUCCUAACAUAAAGAUCACAGUCAAAUGCUGAUUACAAGCACCAUGCUGCCAGUGAACAUCCCCAGGGACUGCUUUUCAUGACUCAAUACGAUAAUGUUGGCAAACUGAUAGAAAAAUGAAAGUGGCUUUAUACUGCUUAGGUGAAUCUGCAAGGAAUUAUAUCAAAGGAGAAAACUAUAAAGUGAUUUGUUUUUGUACAACUGAACCACUACAACUAAUACUGAUUUUUUUUUUUUAAAAAAGAAGUGUAAUAUGGAAUGGAUCCAGGGAUUGCAAAAAGAAGAAAUGGUGCUUUUGCUUUGGAAACUGCUACAUGUGAGCUCCGGGAGAGCCUCAUAGAUGACAGAUCACAACCUUAUGUGUGACCUUGUCCAGAAUCCUGAUAGAGCAGUGAUAUCUACCCAUCCUGUUAAGAUCUGGCAGGAGAGACAUGCUCCAGAUCCCACCUGCUAAGGAGUCUUGGCUAGUAGCGCCCAGGAACAGAGCCUCAUCUGUCAUGGUGUCUACUCUCUGAAACAUUUUUCCUCUGGAGGUUAGAUUGGCCCAAUGCCCAUGCUUCUUGGCCUUCCCUAAGACUUGGCUCUGUGCUUGAACGUGGGGGCCCAGGUUCAUAAUGGAGCCCAGCUCUUGCAAUAUUGAAGGUGAUUGAUGUUUUGAAAUAUUUUCCCUACUGUAUGUAUACUUUUUAUCCUUUUUAAUAUUGUUAGCAUCCCAGAGUCAUGUACAUGAGAUGAGCAGCCAUAUAAAUCUACUAAAUGAAUGAAUGAAUAAAUG